UACCCUAGGAGGUAGGUGGUUGUCUGGUC
rnacentral:piRNA from 1 species